rnacentral:ncRNA from 2 species
AGCAAUACAAAAGCGCCUGGACUAAUCCGGACGGUGGAUUAGUUGACGAGGGUGGAGGUUUAUCGAAUGUUCGGCGGAUGCCUCCCGGCUGAAGAGCACAGCCGCAAUCUCUUCUUUAAAACAUUGGGGUAACUUAAUGGACAAAGAGAAGGGAAUGCUAAAAU